ACCAGGAAGAACAGUGUUAGAACAUCUGCUUGGCAUGCAGAAGGUCUCAGGUUCAAUCCCCGGCAUGUCCUGGUG